rnacentral:piRNA from 1 species
UCCGCCUUCAUGAAUUCUCAGGGACCUG